GACGAACGCUGGCGGCGUGCCUAAUACAUGCAAGUCGAACGCAGUGGGGACGGGUGAGUAACACGUGGGUCACCUCCCAUCAGAGGGGAUAACAUUUGGAAACAGGUGCCAAAACGAUACCGCUUGAUGGACCUGGGGUGCAUUAGCUAGUUGGUGAGGUAACGGCUCCCCAAGGCCCCGAUGCAUAGCCGGCCUGAGAGGGUGAUCGGCCACACUGGGACUGAGACACGGCCCAGACUCCUACGGGAGGCAGCAGUAGGGAAUCUUCGGCAAUGGACGAAAGUCUGACCGAGCAACGCCGCGUGAGUGAAGAAGGUUUUCGGAUCGUAAAACUCUGUUGUUAGAGAAGCGUUAUCUAACCAGAAAGCCACGGCUAACUACGUGCCAGCAGCCGCGGUAAUUC
rnacentral:rRNA from 1 species